AAACCAAAAGAGAAAAUUAUCAAAAGUUAUGGAUUUUAAAUUGAAAUUGACAUCAUUUGGAACUCGAAGAAAGUAAAAUUUUCAAUCUUUACCAUCUGGGUGUUAUUACCAAUAAAGUAUAAACCUCAAGAGAAAAUUUUUGCUACCGAUCUGCGAACCCAAAAGAAAGAAAAAUGCAAGCACUUAAAAAUGAAAACAACUCAGCUAAAUCCCAAUUCGCUGAUCCAAUAGGAGUAAAAAACACACAAGCAAAAAUGGGUUAAGAUCCGAAAAUAGCAAAAAACAUGACAAUGAGAUUAAAAAAAAGUCAAUAGCAA
rnacentral:misc_RNA from 1 species